UACGCUAAAAAGAAUGACGGAGAUUAUCAAACGCUAAAUUGGACAAAGGAAGCAUUUCCUCCUUUUUUAUCCAUUCUUCGACAUUUUCUUCUUUUUCCAAACGACAAUAGAGAAGCGAGAUAAAUUUGGGUUCUAGCGGAUAAAGUAAUCCAACAAAUGACAAUUCAAAGCGAAGAUGGCGAAGGUUUGAGAAAUUGAAAUGAAGAUUUUCAUUUUUAUGGUAAUCUUCGGUGCUAAUGUGUCGUGUAUUUUAGAUUUGGAUGAAUUGCGACAGAGGCUUGCUAAGCUUGACAUAAUUGACUAGACAACACAAGAAAAGGUCUAUUUUUUAUUUUUUAUUUUUUGUUUUACGCUAUCUUUGUAUGAUUCCCAUUAAACGUCUUGUUUUUUGUUAAAGGACGAAGUAAAUGAA